rnacentral:rRNA from 1 species
GUGCCAGCAGCCGCGGUAAUACGUAGGUGGCAAGCGUUGUCCGGAAUUAUUGGGCGUAAAGCGCGCGCAGGUGGUCUCUUAAGUCUGAUGUGAAAGCCCCCGGCUCAACCGGGGAGGGUCAUUGGAAACUGGGAGACUUGAGUCGGCAGGAGAGAAGAGUGGAAUUCCACGUGUAGCGGUGAAAUGCGUAGAGAUGUGGAGGAACACCAGUGGCGAAGGCGACUCUUUGGCCUGUGAACUGACACUGAGGCGCGAAAGCGUGGGGAGCAAACAGGAUUAGAUACCCUGGUAGUCAAGGGCG